rnacentral:rRNA from 1 species
CCUACGGGAGGCAGCAGUGGGGAAUAUUGCACAAUGGGGGAAACCCUGAUGCAGCGACGCCGCGUGAGUGAAGACGUAUUUCGGUAUGUAAAGCUCUAUCAGCAGGGGAGAAAAUGACGGUACCUGAUUAAGAAGCCCCGGCUAACUACGUGACAGCAGCCGCGGUAAUACGUAGGGAGCAAGCGUUAUCCGUAUUUACUGGGUGUAAAGGGAGCGUAGACGGGAGCACAAGUCCGUAGUGAAAUGUCGGGGCUGAACCGCGGAACUGCUUUGGAAACUGUGCAGCUAGAGUGCAGGAGAGGUAAGCGGAAUUCGUAGUGUAGCGGUGAAAUGCGUAGAUAUUAGGAGGAACACCAGUGGCGAAGGCAGCCUACUGGACUGUAACUGACGUUGAGGCUCGAAAGUGUGGGGAGCAAACAGGAUUAGAUACCCGUGUAGUC